rnacentral:lncRNA from 1 species
AUAAGUAAGAUGACUCAAUCAUUGGAAAAAGGAGGACCUAUUGUUACCCUGCUAAAUCACCACAUGCCCUACACUAAAGCUCAAAGAAUCCUAGACUUACUCAGAGCUCUUCAUUGGAGCUCUGAGCUGAGAGAGCUUAACCUCACUCAUAGUAAAACACUCAGAAACGCACGAAGAAGAAAGGCUGACAGGAGCAACAAUACACCAUGCAAGAUACAGAAGCAGGAAGCAGAAGAUAAGAAGAAUAAGAGAUCGAAAAGGAAGAAGUACUUACCAUCAUUCCAUCACCAGAGUUACAUCGGACUAGCUUCGAUUAGGUAAUUUGUGGACCCUUCUCAACAUUUUAUGGUGACCAUUGUGUAGAACUUCCUCCACUGAUUUGUAUCCCUUAUGUAGUUUCUUGAUUCGCAUGGGUUUGACUAUUCAAUUUUGGUUUUAUGAGAUUUAGGUUUUAUUUUGGAUUCAAUCUUUUAUAUAGGUUGUUUAGUUGAGUUUUCAAGUUGUUUAAGACCGGAUUCGAAAUCCUUGGCUAAAGUAGUUGGAGUUUGUGUUUAGUUGGUCGCCGGAGGAGGCGGUGGCGGCGAUCGAGCGGCGUCGUUUCUUCUGCAAGGUUGAAUCAACAAAGAGAGAAGAAGUUGUAGAGCAUUUCCUAUGCUUUUAUUUGAAGAGAGAGAAAAUGGCUUGGGUUACAUUUCAUUUCCUGUUAAUGAUGCCCUUUAAUGGUUGUUUCCUGUGCCUGCAUUAAUGAAUUGUGUGGCCCGAAUUAGUGGUGACACUUGUCACAGUCUCUGUUAACUCCUCCCAUGAUCCCACGCGAUGCAUCCCCUUGGUGCUAUCGUGCUCGAACACAUAUUUCCACCUCUUAAUCAUUGGACCAAGCCAGAUCUACAGAUCUGACGGUCCUAGACAAGCCUUAAGUCAACAGAGGUUGACUGAGUCCUCGGUGGACUCCCCCCGGUAUUGGGCAUCGGUGGUUCUUGGCCUUGGGGUUCCUGCUGAUAUACCUUGGGAUUCCUAUUUGAUUCCCAAACCCAUUUAUUUUUUUUCUUUAUCAUGUUUUUAUUUUACCUUUUAUUCUUUUAAUUUAUAUUUUCUUUUUUUUAUUUUAUUUCCGUGAAAGUGAUAAGGUUUUUUUAUUAAUUAGGAUAGAUACUUUUAGUUAAUUUAAUUAGCAUGUUAAUUAAUUUGUUAAAUAAUUAUAUUUAAUCUAGUUAAUUAACCAUUUUAUGUGUGCUUUGUGGAGCUUAUAUGUUUGUAAUUGAUGAUUAUUUUUGACUUAUGCAUUUUCUCAUAUUAUCAUGAUGAUGACGAUUGAUUAACCCCAAUACAUACACACCCACAACCUUUUUAAAUAAUUCUCGAUUCAACAUUGAGCCCAUUUUCGUACCCUUGUAAGUCGAUCACUUUUAGCAUCGUCGUCAACCUCAC